UCUGAGUUUUAGAUAUGAGAACUAUAGAUAUGUUCUUUAUGCAUCUGCAUGCAGCUCUUAGAUUGCAAAUCCCACAUACUAGAAAUUCGUGUAUUUUCUUCAAACGAAUCGUUGAUACUUGUACAAAAAUAAAAUGAAUUACAAAGGUAUAUAAAGUUACAUGCACGAGUAGGUUCAUUCAAUAAUGAUUAAUUUGUGACAAUGAUAAGAAAAAUUAAAGUUGAAAAUUUUUCAAAAUUGUAAAAAGCAAUAUGAUAAAAGCUUUUAAAACAUCGCAUAGUGUACUAGCAUAUCGAAAAGUAUGACAUUAGCCUUUGGAGUGUAUGUAGACACAUGUUAAAUCUGUCUCACAUUUACCUAGAGACAACUAGUAUUGCUACUUUUUGAUGACACAAAUGAAGACGACGACUACUUCAGCAAAGUAGGUAAUUUUAUGUUUUUUAGAUGCUCUUCCCAUAUUGUUGUAGAUCCAUGAGUGAAAUUCCUAUCCCAACUCUCUCUUUCUCUCUCUCUCUCUCUCUCUCUCUCACACACACACACACACACACACACACACACACACACACACCUUUAUACUGAGCUCGUGAAUCCGAAGUGACAUGGCAUACACAAAUCUUGUUUUCUACCUCAGCAUUGCUUAAUCGAUAUUUUUUCCCGUGACAUGCCAUUGGCUGGUUCUCGUUAUGUCAAGAGGGUAUCCUUUAUUUCUUUACUGUAUUUCCCUCUUAUCUUAUGCAAACAAAACCUUUAAUAUCAGGUAGUUAAUCAUGCUUUAUGUUCACAUUUUAUGGAGUUUUGAUUGAAUCCGAAUAGAUCUGCCAGACACACUCACUACAGCUAGAGGGCGGUGCGUGGUGUUUCCACAGUCUCACACGGGUGGCGUAUAUCCUGGAAAUGCAGAAAAUGAAAAAAAAA